rnacentral:rRNA from 1 species
UGGGGAAUAUUGCACAAUGGGGGAAACCCUGAUGCAGCGACGCCGCGUGAAGGAUGAAGUAUUUCGGUAUGUAAACUUCUAUCAGCAGGGAAGAAAAUGACGGUACCUGACUAAGAAGCCCCGGCUAACUACGUGCCAGCAGCCGCGGUAAUACGUAGGGGGCAAGCGUUAUCCGGAUUUACUGGGUGUAAAGGGAGCGUAGACGGUCUUGUAAGUCUGAUGUGAAAACCCGGGGCUCAACCCCGGGACUGCAUUGGAAACUAUAGGACUAGAGUGUCGGAGAGGCAAGUGGAAUUCCUAGUGUAGCGGUGAAAUGCGUAGAUAUUAGGAGGAACACCAGUGGCGAAGGCGGCUUGCUGGACGAUGACUGACGUUGAGGCUCGAAAGCGUGGGGAGCAAACAGGA